GACUCUGUGCACAGUGGUGGACUCCGGACCAGGCCGCGCAGCCUCAACUUCAACCAUGACCAUAUAAGGGCAUGGGAGGAGGGGCGAUGUAAUAUCUCAACCUCUCCCCACUCCCUCCGCCUCCCCCCCACUCCCUGCUCUCUUGCCCAGGAGAGGAAGGUGGGGUGGCGGAGGGGUCUAAAUACGCUGGAUGUGAUGGUGUGAAUUCAUAAAUCACGCGAUUUGAAGGAAGGACUGGAUCUGAGGGAAUAAGCAUGGAUAUUUGAUAUCAGAGGACCUAAAUCAGAAGUUAAUUAACGCCCAACCAAUGCCAGUGGGUCCUGAUGGGACGUUUUUAUAGAGAAAAUGAAGUGGUAACUUAGGAGGUGAUCUGCACUGGAGGGCCUAAUUGAAGGACUGGAGCCUGGUUGUUUAUUGUGGUUUUAACAGGAGGAGGAGGAGAUGGCGGUGGCGCCAACGCAUGAGAGGAGAGCAGGGGCUGACUAAACAGUCUCAUCUUUAAAAGAGAUUCAGGGGAGCGGUCAAGCAAAGGGUUGGGACACACAUUUAUUUAUUUAAAUGUGUAUUGUUAAUUAUUUAUUUCUAUGUCACUUAUUUGUGUUUUGUAUGUCUGUCUGUCAUUCAUUCCCAGCUGCUGUCUUCUCUAAAUAUGACAGAAACCUGAUAAAGAUCAUUGUGUUGCAAAUUAGCAACUAAUACCUUAAAGCAAAUAAGCCCAUGCUGCUUUGUUGGGACACAAAACUACAGACAAAACUAAAAUCAAGCCACAACUUAAUUAAGUGUGGCAUCCAUCUAGCUAAUCUUUUUAUAAAUUUUUCGGUUCUGCUUUUUCUUCUUUCAGUAAUAAUGCUCCAGCCUGACCUGUCAUUGACCUUUGUCACAAAUUUCUCCUUUUUCUUUCUUCCAUCAUACAGUAGCAGUUGGGAUUGUCUGUCACUCACUUCCCUGUCUUCCCUAAAUGUAUUAUAUGUCUGUCUAUCUUUGUGCAAAGUCAUAUGGGUAUAAAUAAUUGCCUUCCCUAAAUAUGACAUCAUAAAAAAAUUGCUGAUGCUGCACAGCAACCAGACCUACUGUACUAUGCCAAAGCCAGCAAGACGCCAGACAUAAAAAAAAAAAGAUCCUCUUCCAUCUGGACACCCAUUU